rnacentral:rRNA from 1 species
AUUGAACGCUGGCGGCAUGCCUUACACAUGCAAGUCGAACGGCAGCACGGGGGCAACCCUGGUGGCGAGUGGCGAACGGGUGAGUAAUGCAUCGGAACGUGCCCAGUAGUGGGGGAUAACUAGUCGAAAGAUUAGCUAAUACCGCAUACGACCUACGGGUGAAAGGCGGGGAUUCGCAAGAACCUCGCGCUAUCGGAGCGGCCGAUGUCUGAUUAGCUAGUUGGCGGGAAAAGCCCACCAAGGCUUCGAUCAGUAGCUGGUCCUGAGAGGACGACCAGGCCACACUGGGACUGAGACACGGCCCAGACUCCGUACGGGAGCAGCAGUGGGGAAUUUUGGACAAUGGGCGCAAGCCUGAUCCAGCCAUGCCGCGUGCGGGAA